rnacentral:rRNA from 1 species
AGUUUGAUCCUGGCUCAGAUUGAACGCUGGCGGCAGGCCUAACACAUGCAAGUCGAGCGGUAGAGAGAAGCUUGCUUCUCUUGAGAGCGGCGGACGGGUGAGUAAUGCCUAGGAAUCUGCCUGGUAGUGGGGGAUAACGUUCGGAAACGGACGCUAAUACCGCAUACGUCCUACGGGAGAAAGCAGGGGACCUUCGGGCCUUGCGCUAUCAGAUGAGCCUAGGUCGGAUUAGCUAGUUGGUGAGGUAAUGGCUCACCAAGGCGACGAUCCGUAACUGGUCUGAGAGGAUGAUCAGUCACACUGGAACUGAGACACGGUCCAGACUCCUACGGGAGGCAGCAGUGGGGAAUAUUGGACAAUGGGCGAAAGCCUGAUCCAGCCAUGCCGCGUGUGUGAAGAAGGUCUUCGGAUUGUAAAGCACUUUAAGUUGGGAGGAAGGGUUGUAGAUUAAUACUCUGCAAUUUUGACGUUACCGACAGAAUAAGCACCGGCUAACUCUGUGCCAGCAGCCGCGGUAAUACAGAGGGUGCAAGCGUUAAUCGGGAUUACUGGGCGUAAAGCGCGCGUAGGUGGUUUGUUAAGUUGGAUGUGAAAUCCCCGGGCUCAACCUGGGAACUGCAUUCAAAACUGACUGACUAGAGUAUGGUAGAGGGUGGUGGAAUUUCCUGUGUAGCGGUGAAAUGCGUAGAUAUAGGAAGGAACACCAGUGGCGAAGGCGACCACCUGGACUAAUACUGACACUGAGGUGCGAAAGCGUGGGGAGCAAACAGGAUUAGAUACCCUGGUAGUCCACGCCGUAAACGAUGUCAACUAGCCGUUGGAAGCCUUGAGCUUUUAGUGGCGCAGCUAACGCAUUAAGUUGACCGCCUGGGGAGUACGGCCGCAAGGUUAAAACUCAAAUGAAUUGACGGGGGCCCGCACAAGCGGUGGAGCAUGUGGUUUAAUUCGAAGCAACGCGAAGAACCUUACCAGGCCUUGACAUCCAAUGAACUUUCUAGAGAUAGAUUGGUGCCUUCGGGAACAUUGAGACAGGUGCUGCAUGGCUGUCGUCAGCUCGUG